rnacentral:rRNA from 1 species
AAACCAACCGGGAUUGCCUCAGUAACGGCGAGUGAAGCGGCAAGAGCUCAAAUUUGAAAUCUAGCACCUUCGGUGUUCGAGUCGUAAUUUGAAGAUGGUAACCUUGGGUUUGGCUCUUGUCUAUGUUCCUUGGAACAGGACGUCAUAAAGGGUGAGAAUCCCGUGCGAUGAGAUGAUCCAGGCCUAUGUAAAGUUCCUUCGAC